GGUUACUACCCGGGCCCUAGGGCCAGGGUUCAGGGUGGGCCUUGGGACUCCAUCCGUAUUUGCCUUCUGUGUGAUGUGGCAGGUGUUUAAUCCACAUACAUGGAGCGGAUGUACACAGCAGGUGUUUAAUCCACAUACAUGGAGCGGAUGUACACAGCAGGUGUUUAAUCCACAUACAUGGAGCGGAUGUACACAGCAGGUGUUUAAUCCACAUACAUGGAGUGAAUGGGUCACAGAUGGCCCCAGCGCUGGGAUCAUGAGCGUUUGCAGUCGAUAAAAUGCAGGCCCCAAGUUAAUGGGGAAACUGGUUCUCCGCACACCCCCUGUGGAAAAGAGAGGAGUUAAGCGAGCCUAGGCAAGCGUGAGAAGCAGUCGUGGCCAGACUGUGCAAUUCCUGUAAAAGCUUGGUUCCCGGAGCCCCCCCGCUGGAGCAAUUCUCUCCCUCAGCCUCAGCAGUAUCGCCCCACUCUGGAGAUGAUUGAGGCCAUGGGUACCGCCACCGGAGCACUUGUGAUGCACUGCACCUCCUCUGAGCCUUGCUGAGAGGGAAAAUCCUAGCUAACCUUCAGUCCUGCCCCCCUC
ensembl:lncRNA